UGAUCCCCAACAAACUAUGACGUGGUUUUUUAAAAUGCCCGCGCACAACGGUAAACCAGAAACUAACAAGUGUUUUUUUUAAAAAUGUCCGCGUCCAACGGUAAACUAGUGCUUCCAUAACCACAUCCCUCACGUUUAAUAUCCUUUUGAAUGUGAGGAGCGGAGUUCAAAUUUGAAAUGGCAGAAAAUUGAAGUUAUUCAAGAUUUCUCCAUGAUAAUGAGAAGAGAGAAAUUCGAACUUCUGCUGAAUAGGUGGUGCUGUAAAGGGGUUAUUUCGCAGAGAUUGAAGGUUACAUGAGUGGAGCAUGCAGAACAUGAUAAUAUUGGGGUGCACAGGAUAUUUUGUGUAGUAGUAAAUAAUGGGUUGGCCUUUGAAGUACAACUCUGCAGUGCCAGUGUGAAAGGAUUACAUUCCUCGCAGCAACAAACACUCAUGUUGCUGCCAGAGAUAUCACUACGAGUUCUUACAAGCAUUAGAAUAAUGGCUGCAGGAGCAUGAUGAAGCUUACUGAGAGGAUGAGAAAUAAAUUCUGGACAGACUAUAGGUGUAAUUUUUAGAGCAACAUCUAUACGGGUUCCUAUUUCUCCAGAUUGAUUGUUUGAGUUAUUAAGAGAUGAGAGACUUAAAAAUGAGAUACCAAAAGGAAGGCAGAUGUAGACAAGGACGAAGCAGCAAGACAAAGGCAACAUCAAGACUACUCCAACUGUACUAGUCAUUUAGGCAAUGACUGGUUCCAUUCUCAACAUGCUCUCUUUUAUUUUGUACUCAUGUAUACAUGCCUAUUUAUUUCCUUCUUGCACCUGAUGCAUGUAGCCAGUCUCACGGC